GAUGAACGCUAGCUACAGGCUUAACACAUGCAAGUCGCGGGGCAGCAUGGGGGUUGCUUGCAAUCCCCGAUGGCGACCGGCGCACGGGUGAGUAACGCGUAUCCAACCUGCCCUUCACCACGGGAUAACCCGGCGAAAGUCGGACUAAUACCGUAUGUUGUCCAUUGACGGCAUCCGAUUUGGACGAAAGGCUUGGCGGUGAGGGAUGGGGAUGCGUCCGAUUAGCCAGACGGCGGGGUAACGGCCCACCGUGGCUACGAUCGGUAGGGGUUCUGAGAGGAAGAUCCCCCACACUGGAACUGAGACACGGUCCAGACGCCUACGGGAGGCAGCAGUGAGGAAUAUUGGUCAAUGGGCGUAAGCCUGAACCAGCCAAGUAGCGUGCAGGAUGACGGCCCUAUGGGUUGUAAACUGCUUUUAUGCGGGGAUAAAGUGGUCCACGUGUGGGCUUUUGCAGGUACCGCAUGAAUAAGGACCGGCUAAUUCCGUG
rnacentral:rRNA from 1 species